AUCCAGUGAGGAGUCCAAAAUAGGGCGAAAUGCGCGUUGUCGUGGAU
rnacentral:hammerhead_ribozyme from 1 species